rnacentral:rRNA from 1 species
GACGAACGCUGGCGGCGUGCUUAACACAUGCAAGUCGAACGCAAAGGCGCCUUUCGUGGUCCUCGUGUGGCGAACGGGAGCGUAACACUUACGUGACCUUCCCUUGCCUUCUGGAUAACUUCAACUAACUGGAGCUAAUACUGGUUAGGAAUCAUUGCUGCAUGGCGGUGGUUGGUAAGCUUCAGCGGUUUUGGCUGGACUGGCGGCUUAUCAGCUUGUUGGUGGGGUAGUGGCUUACCAAAGGGUUGACGGGUAGCCGGCCUGAGAGGGCGACCGGCCACAAGAGUACUGCGAGACGGCGCAGAAGCCUACGGGAGGCAACAGGGGGGAAUAUUGCAGAAUGGGGGGAAGCCAGAUGCAGCGGCGUCGCGUGCGGGAAGACGGGCUGCGGGUUGAGAACCGGUGUGAGCAGGGGAAAAGCAUGUGGUGACGGUACCUGCAGAGGAAGCACCGGCUAACUACGUG